CUUUUGCCUGUGCAGUUAACUUAAGUCACAGACUAAGGGUGAAACUGAAGGAGUCAUCUUAUGUACUUCCAGCUUCUGGGGCAUCAAUUUUUAAAUGCCUAAAUGCUGAAGGAACCUAGGAAGAGAAAAAGCUGCAACUGGAUGAGAGCCCGGGAGUCCAGAGAGGCCAACAAACCCCAUUCCUCAGAAUAACAACAUAAUAAGAACAUCUGCUGUGGUUAUGGAGGUCAGAAAAGUAAAGUCCACAGUGGGAUGUACCACAGAUGACACCUCACUUUGGACUGACAUGCUCUGGACUCAAAACCUAUGAUGGCAUGUGAUUUUUCUUGUGAGUCUCAGAGGAGAGGAGCAGGUGUGAUCUCUCAGUUUCAUAACAACUAAGUUGACUUUAGGCUUCCUCUGCAGGCUGGAAGAAUAUUGUGGGGAAUGACUUGCUGCUUGGAGUCCUCCUACUGCUGCAUACUAGGAUUCCCAACACAGGCAGUAGCAGAUCGCAGCAGCCAGAGAAUGUGCACGGGAUCUGCACAGAAAUGCCUAGGAAUCUCUUGUGAGUCAGACUCAAAUGAAAUAGAGCAGCCAAGCUAGUUGCAGAAAAUCCAAAUAAGUAAACACAGAAUACAAUGGAAAUCUGCUUUAGUGCUGUUUUCUGGCACUCCAAGAACAGAUGCAUUCUGAAAUGCUUGAGGGAAAAAAAAAAUCUAUCUGAAAGCCAGCUCUUUCUAUUCACAUUGUCAUGUUUUGCACUUUCCUCUGUGACCCCUCAGCUUUUCUGAAAGUCUGAAACCAGUUCUCCGAGGAUAGUGGUCUAGUCUAAGUCAAUCUGUUCUCUGAUAGUUUCUUUGGCAUUCAUCACAGUACAUGAACACGAAGAGCAUCUGUCUGGAGGUUAGUAUGACUUGAGGAGCAGCUGUGCAAUUCCACUGCCUAUAUUCUUAAUAACCUCCUAUGAGAAUUUGUGGUUCAAAAUGGUAAAGAUUUCUGAGUGUGGGCUCUCAAAAGGCCUUAAGAUUCAUGGUUGUUGGAUAAAUAAUGUUACUGAAAUGUCUUUUGUUGUUUUUAGUAGAAAGUUAUUUCAGUAUCUGUGUCUUUUGAAAUUGAUGAAACUAACUAGUUACGAAAAUGAAUUAAUUGCACAAACUCUUUAUUGUUAUCCGUUCUGGUUGGGCAGAAACACGAGAAUUUCCAACAGAAGGGUCAUGAGACAUGGUUAAUUCUAAUUACCCCUGUGUAGAAAAGAGUUAAUUUCUUUUCAACUUUUGCACUUUUAUGAUAUCCUGAGAAUUGCUGUUAUGUACCAUUGUUGACCCACCAGUGUCCAGCAAGAUCAGCACUAGCUAUUGGCCUCCUUGAGGUGGCCAAACUGCUACUUAUGCAGUAAGAAGUUUUUGCCUCUCAUGCUACUCCUUUAGCCCAGGGCAGCAAUUAAUUCUGAUUCAGAUGGUUGGUUUGUCGUAUAAACCAAGCUCAGGCCAGCUUGCAGUAGACAAUUGUCUGUAUCAUGAAAAAAAAAAAAAAAAAAAAUUAUAAAUACAGUGACAUCAUCCUUGUUGGAAACCACAGCAGCGAUGCCAAAGGCAAAAUAGCUGAGAAAGCUGAAAUAUUCUAUGAUCAUUGCAUAGGAGAAUGUAGACUUUGUGGAGUUAACAUAAGGAUGGUUAUGCUUUACUUUGAGCAGAAGAUGGAUGAAGAAAUAUCAUCCUGUCAACUCAAUACUGCUCAUCAGCAUGAAAUUUCCUAUUAGAAGAAAACAACAAAUUAAUCUUUAAUUUUUGAAAAGACAAGAGCCUUUUGGUUUUGCCAAGCCAUCUGCUCCAGUCCCUGCUACAAGGACUAAGCUGGUAACACACAGCCCUGAGGGUGAGAUACUAAUCAUUAAAAACACAAGGUAUGCCAGGAGCCCCUUUAAAAGCCUGACUCUUGGCAUUCUGUGUAUUAACCUCCUCAAGCUGCUGAGAUUUGUUGAUUGGCUUCUGUGAUCUACUCACCUAGUGUGAGUGGGCAUGAUGCCAUGGCAGCAGGUGGACUAGGGCAUAGAUGUACUAAUAGACAAGUGGGUUUAUGGAGGCUAAGGAGGACUGUCAUCCCAUGCAGGACCGCUGAUCAUGCUUUGUGAAAAAUCUCCAUAAAAGAUAAUGUAGUAGAUACAUCAUCCCUGCUUCUGAUUGUAGAUGACACAAUUCACAUCAGACUCACCAAAACAUGGAAUUAUCUUCUCUCUCUGUAACACUG
rnacentral:lncRNA from 1 species